rnacentral:rRNA from 1 species
GACAGAGGGGGCAAGCGUUGCUCGGAAUCACUGGGCGUAAAGCGCACGUAGGCGGCUUCUUAAGUCAGGGGUGAAAUCCUGGAGCUCAACUCCAGAACUGCCUUUGAUACUGAGAGCUUGAGUCCGGGAGAGGUGAGUGGAACUGCGAGUGUAGAGGUGAAAUCGUAGAUAUUCGCAAGAACACCAGUGGCGAAGGCGGCUCACUGGCCCGGUACUGACGCUGAGGUGCGAAAGCGUGGGGAGCAAACAGG